rnacentral:rRNA from 1 species
GACGAACGCUGGCGGCGUGCUUAACACAUGCAAGUCGAACGGAAAGGCUCCAGCUUGCUGGAGUACUCGAGUGGCGAACGGGUGAGUAACACGUGGGUAAUCUGCCCCGCACUCUGGGAUAAGCCUGGGAAACUGGGUCUAAUACUGGAUAUGACCUUUCUCCUUAUGGGGUUUGGUGGAAAGUUUUUCGGUGUAGGAUGAGCCCGCGGCCUAUCAGCUUGUUGGUGGGGUGAUGGCCUACCAAGGCGACGACGGGUAGCCGGCCUGAGAGGGUGAUCGGCCACAUUGGGACUGAGAUACGGCCCAGACUCCUACGGGAGGCAGCAGUGGGGAAUAUUGCACAAUGGGCGGAAGCCUGAUGCAGCGACGCCGCGUGAGGGAUGACGGCCUUCGGGUUGUAAACCUCUUUCAGCAGGGACGAAGCGUAAGUGACGGUACCUGCAGAAGAAGCACCGGCUAACUAUGUG